rnacentral:rRNA from 1 species
ACACAUGCAAGUCGAACGAAGGCUUCGGCCUUAGUGGCGCACGGGUGCGUAACGCGUGGGAAUCUGCCCUUGGGUUCGGAAUAACAGUGAGAAAUUACUGCUAAUACCGGAUGAUGACUUCGGUCCAAAGAUUUAUCGCCCAAGGAUGAGCCCGCGUAAGAUUAGCUAGUUGGUGAGGUAAAGGCUCACCAAGGCGACGAUCUUUAGCUGGUCUGAGAGGAUGAUCAGCCACACUGGGACUGAGACACGGCCCAGACUCCUACGGGAGGCAGCAGUGGGGAAUAUUGGACAAUGGGCGAAAGCCUGAUCCAGCAAUGCCGCGUGAGUGAUGAAGGCCUUAGGGUUGUAAAGCUCUUUUACCAGGGAUGAUAAUGACAGUACCUGGAGAAUAAGCUCCGGCUAACUCCGUGCCAGCAGCCGCGGUAAUACGGAGGGAGCUAGCGUUGUUCGGAAUUACUGGGCGUAAAGCGCACGUAGGCGGCCAUUCAAGUCAGAGGUGAAAGCCCGGGGCUCAACCCCGGAACUGCCUUUGAAACUAGAUGGCUUGAAUCUUGGAGAGGCGAGUGGAAUUCCGAGUGUAGAGGUGAAAUUCGUAGAUAUUCGGAAGAACACCAGUGGCGAAGGCGACUCGCUGGACAAGUAUUGACGCUGA